AACGAACGCUGGCGGCGUGGAUAAGACAUGCAAGUCGUACGGAGUGACUUCGGUCACUGAGUGGCGCACGGGUGAGUAACACGUGAGUCAUCUGCCCCUGAGACAGGGAUAGCCCCGGGAAACUGGGAUUAAUACCUGAUGGUCUCGCAAGAGUAAAGCAGCAAUGCGCUCAGGGAAGAGCUCGCGUCCUAUUAGUUAGUUGGCGGGGUAACGGCCCACCAAGGCGAUGACGGGUAGCCGGUCUGAGAGGAUGUCCGGCCACACUGGAACUGAGACACGGUCCAGACACCUACGGGUGGCAGCAGUCGAGAAUCAUUCACAAUGGGCGAAAGCCUGAUGGUGCGACGCCGCGUGGGGGGAAGAAGGUCUUCGGAUUGUAAACCCCUGUCAUGUAGGAGCAAGACGCAAGUUUGAUAGUACUACAAGAGGAAGAGACGGCAAACUCUGUG
rnacentral:rRNA from 1 species